rnacentral:RNase_P_RNA from 1 species
UGAGUCGGCUGGGUGGCCGCGGCGCUGGCCCAGCGGUUUCGGGCCGGCGUCGAGGAAGGUCGGGGCUCCACAGGGCAGGGUGCUGGCUAACGGCCAGUCGGGGUGACCCGCAGGAAAGUGCCACAGAGAACAGACCGCCUGGCCGGGGACGGCCAGGCAAGGGUGAAACGGUGCGGUAAGAGCGCACCAGCGCCCGGGGUGACCCGGGCGGCUAGGCAAACCCCACCCGGAGCAAGGCCGAGACGGGGACGGGCUGCCCGCCCACAUGUCCCCAGGUGAGCCGCUCAGAUGGAUGGCCACCCAUCGGGAUCCCGGCAACGGGCCCGUGGACAGAACCCCGCCUACAGGCCGGCUCACCGA